rnacentral:rRNA from 1 species
GAUGAACGCUGGCGGCGUGCCUAAUACAUGCAAGUCGAGCGAACGGACGAGAAGCUUGCUUUUCUGAUGUUAGCGGCGGACGGGUGAGUAACACGUGGAUAACCUACCUAUAAGACUGGGAUAACUUCGGGAAACCGGAGCUAAUACCGGAUAAUAUUUUGAACCGCAUGGUUCAAAAGUGAAAGACGGUCUUGCUGUCACUUAUAGAUGGAUCCGCGCUGCAUUAGCUAGUUGGUAAGGUAACGGCUUACCAAGGCAACGAUGCAUAGCCGACCUGAGAGGGUGAUCGGCCACACUGGAACUGAGACACGGUCCAGACUCCUACGGGAGGCAGCAGUAGGGAAUCUUCCGCAAUGGGCGAAAGCCUGACGGAGCAACGCCGCGUGAGUGAUGAAGGUCUUCGGAUCGUAAAACUCUGUUAUUAGGGAAGAACAUAUGUGUAAGUAACUGUGCACAUCUUGACGGUACCUAAUCAGAAAGCCACGGCUAACUACGUGCCAGCAGCCGCGGUAAUACGUAGGUGGCAAGCGUUAUCCGGAAUUAUUGGGCGUAAAGCGCGCGUAGGCGGUUUUUUAAGUCUGAUGUGAAAGCCCACGGCUCAACCGUGGAGGGUCAUUGGAAACUGGAAAACUUGAGUGCAGAAGAGGAAAGUGGAAUUCCAUGUGUAGCGGUGAAAUGCGCAGAGAUGUGGAGGAACACCAGUGGCGAAGGCGACUUUCUGGUCUGUAACUGACGCUGAUGUGCGAAAGCGUGGGGAUCAAACAGGAUUAGAUACCCUGGUAGUCCACGCCGUAAACGAUGAGUGCUAAGUGUUAGGGGGUUUCCGCCCCUUAGUGCUGCAGCUAACGCAUUAAGCACUCCGCCUGGGGAGUACGACCGCAAGGUUGAAACUCAAAGGAAUUGACGGGGGCCCGCACAAGCGGUGGAGCAUGUGGUUUAAUUCGAAGCAACGCGAAGAACCUUACCAAAUCUUGACAUCCUUUGACAACUCUAGAGAUAGAGCCUUCCCCUUCGGGGGACAAAGUGACAGGUGGUGCAUGGUUGUCGUCAGCUCGUGUCGUGAGAUGUUGGGUUAAGUCCCGCAACGAGCGCAACCCUUAAGCUUAGUUGCCAUCAUUAAGUUGGGCACUUUAAGUUGACUGCCGGUGACAAACCGGAGGAAGGUGGGGAUGACGUCAAAUCAUCAUGCCCCUUAUGAUUUGGGCUACACACGUGCUACAAUGGACAAUACAAAGGGCAGCGAAACCGCGAGGUCAAGCAAAUCCCAUAAAGUUGUUCUCAGUUCGGAUUGUAGUCUGCAACUCGACUACAUGAAGCUGGAAUCGCUAGUAAUCGUAGAUCAGCAUGCUACGGUGAAUACGUUCCCGGGUCU